GAUGAACGCUGGCGGUAUGCUUAACACAUGCAAGUCGAACGGUCACUUCGGUGAUAGUGGCGGACGGGUGAGUAACGCGUGAGAAUCUGUCUUCAGGUCGGGGACAACAGUUAGAAAUGACUGCUAAUACCGGAUGUGCCUUUGGGUGAAAGAUUUAUUGCCUGAAAAAGAGCUCGCGUCAGAUUAGCUAGUAGGUGGUGUAAGAGACUACCUAGGCUCCGAUCUGUAGCUGGUCUGAGAGGACGAUCAGCCACACUGGAACUGAGACACGGUCCAGACUCCUACGGGAGGCAGCAGUGGGGAAUGUUCCGCAAUGGGCGAAAGGCUGACGGAGCAAUACCGCGUGAGGGACGAAGGCUUUUGGGUCGUAAACCUCUUUUCUCAAGGAAGAUGAUGACGGUACUUGAGGAAUAAGCAUCGGCUAACUCGGUG
rnacentral:rRNA from 1 species